rnacentral:rRNA from 1 species
AUUGAACGCUGGCGGCAUGCUUUACACAUGCAAGUCGAACGGUAACAGGGUGCUUGCACCGCUGACGAGUGGCGAACGAGUGAGUAAUGCGUCGGAACGUGCCGAGUAGUGGGGGAUAACGCAGCGAAAGUUGUGCUAAUACCGCAUACGUACUGAGGUAGAAAGUGGGGGACCUUCGGGCCUCACGCUAUUCGAGCGGCCGACGUCUGAUUAGCUAGUAGGUGAGGUAAAGGCUCACCUAGGCGACGAUCAGUAGCGGGUCUGAGAGGAUGAUCCGCAACCCUGGGACUGAGACACGGCCCAGACUCCUACGGGAGGCAGCAGUGGGGAAUUUUGGACAAUGGGCGAAAGCCUGAUCCAGCCAUGCCGCGUGUCUGAAGAAGGCCUUCGGGUUGUAAAGGACUUUUGUCGGGGAGGAAAUCCCCAGCGUUAAUACCGCUGGGGGAUGACAGUACCUGACGAAUAAGCACCGGCUAACUACGUGCCAGCAGCCGCGGUAA